rnacentral:rRNA from 1 species
UACGUAGGGGGGCAAGCGUUGUCCGGAUUUACUGGGCGUAAACGCGUGUAGGCGGCUACGCAGGUCCGUUGUGAAAACUGGAGGCUCAACCUCCAGACGUCGACGGAAACCGUGUGGCUAGAGUCCGGAAGAGGAGAGUGGAAUUCCUGGUGUAGCGGUGAAAUGCGCAGAUAUCAGGAAGAACACCAUGGCGAAGGCAGCUCUCUGGGACGGUACUGACGCUGAGACGCGAAAGCGUGGGGAGCGAACAGG